ACCCGUGCAGAGGCGGGUAUAAUUAUAUAAGGUGAGAAGACCCUGUGGAGCUUAAGAUAAUAACUUAAAUAAAAUUAUUGAAUUCAUAAAAAUUUUAAGUUAAAUCUUUGGUUGGGGUGACUUUGGAGCACAAUAAAACCUCUGAAUGAUAUAACUAAGAUCCACCAAUCUAAGUGCCACAAGCCAGUAAUUGACCCAAAUUUUGAUCAACGGAAUAAGUUACCCCAGGGAUAACAGUGCAAUCCUAUUUAAGAGCCUAUAUUGACAAUUAGGGUUUAAGACCUCGAUGUUGGAUCAGGACACCCAAAUGGUGUAGCCGCUAUUAAAGGUUCGUUUGUUCAAUGAUUAAAGUCCUACGUGAUCUGAAUUCAGACCGGAGAAAUCCAAGUCGGUUACUAUCUAUACAAUA
rnacentral:ncRNA from 1 species